GUGCUUCCUUUUGGCAGCACAUAUCCUAAAAUUGGAAUGAUACAGAGAAGAUUAGCAUGGGUCUGGCACAAGGAUGACAUGCAAAUUCAUGAAGCAUUCCUUAGUUUU
rnacentral:snRNA from 1 species